rnacentral:tRNA from 1 species
GGUUGUGGCUCAAUGGUAGAACGCUUGCCUAGCAUGUGUGAGGCACUGGGUUUGAUUCUCAGCACCG